GGUUUCGUAGCUCAGGUGAUAGAGUGCUUGCCGCGUAGAGGCAUGGUGUUUCUGUCGCUGGUUUGAAUCCAGCCGAAGCCC
rnacentral:tRNA from 1 species